rfam:Danio rerio chromosome 5, GRCz11 reference primary assembly.
UAGGCAGAACCUUGUUUUUUGGUCGCCCACUGAAGCUAAGCAGGGCUGUACCUGGUCAGUACCUGGAUGGGAGACCACAUAGGAAAGCUAGGUUGCUGCCGGA